rnacentral:rRNA from 1 species
CAGGCUUAACACAUGCAAGUCGAGGGGCAGCAUUUCAGUUUGCUUGCAAACUGGAGAUGGCGACCGGCGCACGGGUGAGUAACACGUAUCCAACCUGCCGAUAACUCGGGGAUAGCCUUUCGAAAGAAAGAUUAAUACCCGAUGGCAUAAUUAGACCGCAUGGUCUUAUUAUUAAAGAAUUUCGGUUAUCGAUGGGGAUGCGUUCCAUUAGGCAGUUGGUGAGGUAACGGCUCACCAAACCUUCGAUGGAUAGGGGUUCUGAGAGGAAGGUCCCCCACAUUGGAACUGAGACACGGUCCAAACUCCUACGGGAGGCAGCAGUGAGGAAUAUUGGUCAAUGGACGAGAGUCUGAACCAGCCAAGUAGCGUGAAGGAUGACUGCCCUAUGGGUUGUAAACUUCUUUUAUAUGGGAAUAAAGUUUUCCACGUGUGGAAUUUUGUAUGUACCAUAUGAAUAAGGAUCGGCUAACUCCGUGCCAGCAGCCGCGGUAAUACGGAGGAUCCGAGCGUUAUCCGGAUUUAUUGGGUUUAAAGGGAGCGUAGGUGGACAGUUAAGUCAGUUGUGAAAGUUUGCGGCUCAACCGUAAAAUUGCAGUUGAUACUGGCUGUCUUGAGUACAGUAGAGGUGGGCGGAAUUCGUGGUGUAGCGGUGAAAUGCUUAGAUAUCACGAAGAACUCCGAUUGCGAAGGCAGCUCACUGGACUGCAACCGACACUGAUGCUCGAAAGUGUGGGUAUCAAACAGGAUUAGAUACCCUGGUAGUCCACACAGUAAACGAUGAAUACUCGCUGUUUGCGAUAUACAGUAAGCGGCCAAGCGAAAGCAUUAAGUAUUCCACCUGGGGAGUACGCCAGCAACGGUGAAACUCAAAGGAAUUGACGGGGGCCCGCACAAGCGGAGGAACAUGUGGUUUAAUUCGAUGAUACGCGAGGAACCUUACCCGGGCUUAAAUUGCAUUUGAAUAAUCUGGAAACAGGUUAGCCGCAAGGCAAAUGUGAAGGUGCUGCAUGGUUGUCGUCAGCUCGUGCCGUGAGGUGUCGGCUUAAGUGCCAUAACGAGCGCAACCCUUAUCUUUAGUUACUAACAGGUCAUGCUGAGGACUCUAGAGAGACUGCCGUCGUAAGAUGUGAGGAAGGUGGGGAUGACGUCAAAUCAGCACGGCCCUUACGUCCGGGGCUACACACGUGUUACAAUGGGGGGUACAGAAGGCAGCUACCUGGUGACAGGAUGCUAAUCCCAAAAGCCUCUCUCAGUUCGGAUCGAAGUCUGCAACCCGACUUCGUGAAGCUGGAUUCGCUAGUAAUCGCGCAUCAGCCAUGGCGCGGUGAAUACGUUCCCGGGCCUUGUACACACCGCCCGUCAAGCCAUGAAAGCCGGGGGUACCUGAAGUACGUAAGGGCAAGGAGCGUCCUAGGGUAAAACUGG